GAUGAACGCUGGCGGCGUGCCUAAUACAUGCAAGUCGAGCGAACAGAUGAGGAGCUUGCUCCUCUGACGUUAGCGGCGGACGGGUGAGUAACACGUGGAUAACCUACCUAUAAGACUGGGAUAACUUCGGGAAACCGGAGCUAAUACCGGAUAAUAUAUUGAACCGCAUGGUUCAAUAGUGAAAGACGGUUUUGCUGUCACUUUUAGAUGGAUCCGCGCCGCAUUAGCUAGUUGGUAAGGUAACGGCUUACCAAGGCAACGAUGCGUAGCCGACCUGAGAGGGUGAUCGGCCACACUGGAACUGAGACACGGUCCAGACUCCUACGGGAGGCAGCAGUAGGGAAUCUUCCGCAAAGGGCGAAAGCCUGACGGAGCAACGCCGCGUGAGUGAUGAAGGUCUUCGGAUCGUAAAACUCUGUUAUUAGGGAAGAACAAAUGUGUAAGUAACUAUGCACGUCUUGACGGUACCUAAUCAGAAAGCCACGGCUAACUACGUG
rnacentral:rRNA from 1 species